AAAUCAUAUCCUUCUUCCUACCUCAAAUGGGAGUUAGUCAUCCUCAACAAGGCUCAACUUCCAAAAUUCUCGUUUAAAAAAAAUUUAAAAUGUAAGAAAAUUUUCAUUCACAUGCUACAACAGCCAAACAUUCCCUGGACUAAAUUUCAGUAACUAGAUCAAACUUAUGAGCUCUCUUAGAACCUCCAAUUGCCUAAGCGGGAGUUACAAGUCUGUGCAGUGCCCUUUGUGCAGCUAAGUAGGCCACCAACAUAUCUACUUCUUUUUCUUUGAUUUGCUGGAUAAUGACUGAGUGUAUGC
rnacentral:misc_RNA from 1 species